UACGGGGGGAGCAAGCGUUGUUCGGAUUUACUGGGCGUAAAGGGCGCGUAGGCGGCCUCUGCAAGUCGACUGUGAAAUCUCCGGGCUUAACCCGGAAAGGUCAGCCGAUACUGCAGGGCUAGAGUGCAGAAGGGGCAACUGGAAUUCUCGGUGUAGCGGUGAAAUGCGUAGAUAUCGGGAGGAACACCAAUGGCGAAGGCAGCUCGCUGGGACGGUACUGACGCUGAGACGCGAAAGCGUGGGGAGCAAACAGG
rnacentral:rRNA from 1 species